rnacentral:rRNA from 1 species
UACGAAGGGGGCUAGCGUUGCUCGGAAUCACUGGGCGUAAAGCGCACGUAGGCGGCUUUCUAAGUCAGGGGUGAAAUCCUGGAGCUCAACUCCAGAACUGCCUUUGAUACUGGGGAUCUCGAGUCCGGAAGAGGUGAGUGGAACUCCGAGUGUAGAGGUGAAAUUCGUAGAUAUUCGGAAGAACACCAGUGGCGAAGGGCGGCUCACUGGUCCGGUACUGACGCUGAGGUGCGAAAGCGUGGGGAGCAAACAGG